AAAAACAUAUACAUACAUAUAUAUAUAUAUCUAUCUUACUAUUAAAAAAGUAAUAAAUUAGGGUCCCUUUACAAUGUCAGAAGGAGGGAGGCACUAAGGCACCGCCUUCCGCCCCUCGACGCCCUCGCGGUGCCACCUCCUUCUGACAGGAACUUCCUACAGACCAGGUAUGAAUGAUGCCUGACUGGACAUACAAAACUCACAAGUUCCUGGCUCUCACGGCUCCUCUGAAGAGGGUUAGUCCAAGAAGGAGGGGCAUCGCGAGGGGCGUCGAGGGACGGGGGACUGUGCCUCACUGCCCUCGCCUUCUUCUAGAAACCCGUCUUCAACCGAGUCGAGAGAGCCGGGAACUUGUGAGGUGUGCAUGUCCUGGUGAGCCUCCACCUUUUAUAGGUGGGUGCAGCCUCGACUGUACAGAGACAGACCAGACCAGCUGCACCACACAGACACUUCAAACCUCAUCUGAGGACAAAAAACAUAUACAUACAUAUAUAUAUAUAUAUAUCUUAGUAUUAAAAAAGUAAUAAAGUUAGGGUCCCUUUACAAUGUCAGAAGGAGAGAGGCACUAAGGCACCGCCUUCCGCCCCUCG
ensembl:lncRNA